GUCCACGCCGUAAACGAUGAGUGUUAGGUGCUGUGGGUAUUGACCCCCGCGGUGCCGUAGCUAACGCGUUAAACACUCCGCCUGGGGAGUACGGCCGCAAGGCUAAAACUCAAAGGAAUUGACGGGGCCCGCACAAGCGGUGGAGCAUGUGGUUCAAUUCGACGCAACGCGCAGAACCUUACCUGGGUUAAAUCCACUCAAAGCCGACAGAGAUGUUGGGGUGCUCGCAAGAGAAUGAGUGAGAAGGUGCUGCAUGGCUGUCGU
rnacentral:rRNA from 1 species